rnacentral:rRNA from 1 species
UUUAGAGUUUGAUCCCUGGCUCAGGACGAACGCUGGCGGCGUGCUUAACACAUUCAAGUCGAACGGAACACCCUUGACAGAGGUUUCGGCCAAUGAAGAGGAAUGUUUAGUGGCGGACUGGUGAGUAACGCGUGAGGAACCUGCCUUUCAGAGGGGGACAACAGUUGGAAACGACUGCUAAUACCGCAUGAAGCAGCGAGGGGACAUCCCCUUGCUGUCAAAGAUUUAUCGCUGAAAGAUGGCCUCGCGUCUGAUUAGCUAGUUGGUGGGGUAACGGCCCACCAAGGCGACGAUCAGUAGCCGGACUGAGAGGUUGACCGGCCACAUUGGGACUGAGAUACGGCCCAGACUCCUACGGGAGGCAGCAGUGGGGAAUAUUGGGCAAUGGACGCAAGUCUGACCCAGCAACGCCGCGUGAAGGAAGAAGGCUUUCGGGUUGUAACUUCUUUAACAGGAAAAAAAGCGGACCUGU